UACGGAGGGUGCGAGCGUUGUCCGGAAUCACUGGGCGUAAAGGGCGCGUAGGCGGCUGGGGAAGUCGGUGGUGAAAGCUCGUGGCUCAACUACGAGUCGGCCAACGAUACUCCUCGGCUUGAGCACUGUAGAGGCAGGUGGAAUUCCGGGUGUAGCGGUGGAAUGCGUAGAGAUCCGGAAGAACAUCGGUGGCGAAGGCGGCCUGCUGGGCAGUAGC
rnacentral:rRNA from 1 species